GACGAACGCUGGCGGCGCGCCUAACACAUGCAAGUCGAACGAGCGAGAGAGAGCUUGCUUUCUCAAGCGAGUGGCGAACGGGUGAGUAACGCGUGAGUAACCUGCCUAGUAGAGGGGGACAACAGUUGGAAACGACUGCUAAUACCGCAUAAGCCCACAGGUCGGCAUCGACCAGAGGGAAAAGGAGCAAUCAGCUUUGAGAUGGCCUCGCGUCCGAUUAGCUAGUUGGUGAGGUAACGGCCCACCAAGGCAACGAUCGGUAGCCGGACUGAGAGGUUGAACGGCCACAUUGGGACUGAGACACGGCCCAGACUCCUACGGGAGGCAGCAGUGGGGAAUAUUGCACAAUGGGGGAAACCCUGAUGCAGCGACGCCGCGUGGAGGAAGAAGGUCUUCGGAUUGUAAACUCCUGUUGUUGAGGAAGAUAAUGACGGUACUCAACAAGGAAGUGACGGCUAACUACGUG
rnacentral:rRNA from 1 species